rnacentral:rRNA from 1 species
UCGCACGAGAACGUUCUGGCUUUGCCAGAACAAGUACAGUGGCGGACGGGUGCGUAUCGCGUAGAUAACCUGCCCUUAGGCGCGGGACAAUCACGGGAAACCGUGGCUAAUACCGCACGUCGUCUGGGCCCCGCAUGGGGACCAGAUGAAAGCUUGGGGUUACCCAGGCGCCUUGGGAUGGGUCUGCGUUGGAUUAGCUUGUUGGUGAGGCAACGGCUCACCAAGGCAACGAUCCAUAGCUGGUCUGAGAGGACGAUCAGCCACACUGGGACUGAGACACGGCCCAGACUCCUAUGGGAGGCAGCAGUGGGGAAUCUUGCACAAUGGGGUCACCCCUGAUGCAGCCAUGCCGCGUGGAGGAAGACACCCCUAUGGGGCGUAAACUCCUUUUCUGAAUGAAGAAACCCCUGUAGGUUCAGGGCGCGACGGUAGUUCAGGAAUAAGCACCGGCUAACUCCGUGCCAGCAGCCGCGGUAAUACGGAGGGUGCAAGCGUUGUCCGGAAUCACUGGGUGUAAAGGGUGUGCAGGCGGGGCAACAAGUCGGAUGUGAAACCCCAUGGCUCAACCAUGGAGGUGCAUUCGAAACUGUUGCUCUUGAGUCCCGGAGAGGCUGUCGGAAUUCGUGGUGUAGCGGUGAAAUGCGUAGAUAUCACGAGGAACACCAGAGGCGAAAGCGGGCAGCUGGACGGGUACUGACGCUCAGGCACGAAAGCGUGGGGAGCAAACAGGAUUAGAUACCC